UGGGGAAUAUUGGACAAUGGGGGCAACCCUGAUCCAGCAAUGCCGCGUGUGUGAAGAAGGUCUUCGGAUUGUAAAGCACUUUCGACGGGGACGAUGAUGACGGUACCCGUAGAAGAAGCCCCGGCUAACUUCGUGCCAGCAGCCGCGGUAAUACGAAGGGGGCUAGCGUUGCUCGGAAUGACUGGGCGUAAAGGGCGUGUAGGCGGUUUACACAGUCAGAUGUGAAAUCCCCGGGCUUAACCUGGGAGCUGCAUUUGAUACGUGUAGACUAGAGUGUGAGAGAGGGUUGUGGAAUUCCCAGUGUAGAGGUGAAAUUCGUAGAUAUUGGGAAGAACACCGGUGGCGAAGGCGGCAACCUGGCUCAUGACUGACGCUGAGGCGCGAAAGCGUGGGGAGCAAACAGGAUUAGAUACCCUGGUAGUCCACGCUGUAAACGAUGUGUGCUAGAUGUUGGGUAACUUUG
rnacentral:rRNA from 1 species